AGUGAACGCUGGCGGUAGGCCUAACACAUGCAAGUCGAACGGCAGCACAGUAAGAGCUUGCUCUUACGGGUGGCGAGUGGCGGACGGGUGAGGAAUACAUCGGAAUCUACUUUUUCGUGGGGGAUAACGUAGGGAAACUUACGCUAAUACCGCAUACGACCUACGGGUGAAAGCAGGGGAUCUUCGGACCUUGCGCGAUUGAAUGAGCCGAUGUCGGAUUAGCUAGUUGGCGGGGUAAAGGCCCACCAAGGCGACGAUCCGUAGCUGGUCUGAGAGGAUGAGCAGUAACACGGGAACUGAGACAAGGUACAGACGCCUACGGGAGGCAGCAGUGGGGAAUAUGGGACCAGGGGCGAAAGCCUGAGACAGCGAUGGCGAGGGAGGGAAGAAGGGCGUAGGAUUGUAAAGAACGUUAAGUGGGGAGGAAGGGCAGUAAGUUAAGACCUGGCUGGUUUGACGUGACAAAAAGAAGAAGCACCGGCUAACUUAGGG
rnacentral:rRNA from 1 species